AGAGUUUGAUCCUGGCUCAGAAUCAACGCUGGCGGCGCGCUUAACACAUGCAAGUCGCACGAGAAAGGGGGCAACCCUGAGUAAAGUGGCGUACGGGUGAGUAACACGUGGAUCAUCUACCUUUUAGUGGGGAAUACCUCUGGGAAACCGGAGAUAAUACCGCAUAAGCUCGUAAGAGGAAAGCAGCAAUGCGCUGAAAG
rnacentral:rRNA from 1 species